rnacentral:rRNA from 1 species
UACAGAGACUGCGAGCGUUAUUCGGAUUCACUGGGCGUAAAGGGUGCGCAGGCGGCCAGGUGUGUGGGGCGUGAAAGCCCGGGGCUCAACUCCGGAAUUGCCUUUAAGACUGCAUCGCUAGAAUUGUGGAGAGGUAAGUGGAAUUCCGAGUGUAGGGGUGAAAUUCGUAGAUAUUCGGAAGAACACCAGUGGCGAAGGCGACUUACUGGACACAUAUUGACGCUGAGGUGCGAAAAGCGUGGGGAGCAAACAGGGAUUAAGAAACCCGGAGUAACGUCCAGAACCAA